rnacentral:rRNA from 1 species
GAUGAACGCUGGCGGCGUGCCUAAUACAUGCAAGUCGAGCGAACAGACGAGGAUCUUGCUCCUCUGACGUUAGCGGCGGACGGGUGAUGAACACGUGGAUAACCUACCUAUAAGACUGAGAUAACUUCGGGAAACCGGAUCUAAUACCGGAUAAUAUAUUGAACCGCAUGGUUCAAUAGUGAAAGACGGUUUUGCUGUCACUUAUAGAUGGAUCCGCGCCGCAUUAGCUAGUUGGUAAGGUAACGGCUUACCAAGGCAACGAUGCGUAGCCGACCUGAGAGGGUGAUCGGCCACACUGGAACUGAGACACGGUCCAGACUCCUACGGGAGGCAGCAGUAGGGAAUCUUCCGCAAUGGGCGAAAGCCUGACGGAGCAACGCCGCGUGAGUGAUGAAGGUCUUCGGAUCGUAAAACUCUGUUAUUAGGGAAGAACAAAUGUGUAAGUAACUAUGCACGUCUUGACGGUACCUACUCAGAAAGCCACGGCUAACUACGUG